AUGGCAUCUAUGUAUGGAGAACUAAUAAGUGCAAAAAAGGAAAUCAAGGCUGCUGCUGAAAAUUCAAAAAAAGACUAUUUGCUGAUCACUAAUGCCAUGGAUAGCAAGAUGAGUGGGAGGUUGGAUUCUCCAUUGCACAUGGCACCAUACAUCUUGAAUCCGAAAUAUAGUUAUGCAGACCCGAGCAUCUUUACGGAUGUAGAGGUAGUAGCUGCACUUAUGGAAGUCAUGGAUACUUUUUAUUAUGAUGAUGACAUCAAGCAAAAUAAGGUGCUGAACAUUGACUUCACCAAGUUUAAAAAGAAAGAGGGUAUCUUUGGGAAGGUGGUUGCCAUGAAAGCAAUUAGCAAUGACAAUUUUGAUGCCGCUGAUUGGUGGUCAACUUAUGGAUUACAAACUCCUACGUUGCAACACAUGGCCAUAAGGAUACUUAACUUGACCACAAGUUCAUCCGGAUGUGAAAGAAAUUGGAGCACAUUUGAAAUGGUAGAUGCAAAGAGGAGAAAUCAACUAGAUGUGGCCCGUAGGGACAAUCUAGUUUAUAUCCAAUUCAAUGGAAGGAUGAUUGAUAAAAGAAAGAAGUUAUCCUCUUCUAGUGAUGUUCUUCUUGGUGAAGAUGCUUCACGAGCUCAAGAUUGGAUAUGUGAAGAUGCAUAUAUCGAUGAGGAGAUUGAUCCCACUACAGGCAUGCCGUACAGCAUCAUUGAUGAAGCAAUGGGGGCAAGCGAUCCUGUGGAGCUUCGUAGAAGUGCAAGAGUUAGAGAACUCCAUGAAGUUGAAGAAUUCGUUGAGGAUGAUGAUAAUGAAUCAGAUCAUGAGAUAGAGGAUGAUGGGAUUGAUUAUGAGUCCGAUGAUGAUGGAGUGAUGGCAACCAAAGACGAUGAUGAGGAGGAGGAACCCCCACAGCCUUGA
rnacentral:rRNA from 1 species